rnacentral:rRNA from 1 species
GACGAACGCUGGCGGCGUGCUUAACACAUGCAAGUCGAACGAUGAACCGGUUUCGGCCGGGGAUUAGUGGCGAACGGGUGAGUAACACGUGGGCAAUCUGCCCUGCACUCUGGGAUAAGCCCGGGAAACUGGGUCUAAUACCGGAUACGACACUCCGAGGCAUCUUGGGGUGUGGAAAGUUCCGGCGGUGCAGGAUGAGCCCGCGGCCUAUCAGCUUGUUGGUGGGGUAAUGGCCUACCAAGGCGACGACGGGUAGCCGGCCUGAGAGGGUGACCGGCCACACUGGGACUGAGACACGGCCCAGACUCCUACGGGAGGCAGCAGUGGGGAAUAUUGCACAAUGGGCGAAAGCCUGAUGCAGCGACGCCGCGUGAGGGAUGACGGCCUUCGGGUUGCAAACCUCUUUCAGCAGGGAAGAAGCGAAAGUGACGGUACCUGCAGAAGAAGCACCGGCUAACUACGUG